rnacentral:rRNA from 1 species
AGUCGACUAGAGUUUGAUCCUGGCUCAGAACGAACGCUGGCGGCGCGCCUAACACAUGCAAGUCGAGCGCGAAAGGGGGGGGCAACUCCCCGAGUAGAGCGGCGCACGGGUGAGUAACGCGUGGGUAACCUACCCUCCGGCGGGGGAUAACUACUCGAAAGGGUGGCUAAUACCGCAUGAGACCACGGGGUCCUCGGAUCCUGAGGCCAAAGGUCGCUCCGGCUUGCCGGGGCGGUCACCGGGGGGAUGGGCCCGCGUCCGAUUAGCUAGUUGGUGAGGUAACGGCUCACCAAGGCUACGAUCGGUAGCUGGUCUGAGAGGAUGAUCAGCCACACUGGAACUGGAACACGGUCCAGACUCCUACGGGAGGCAGCAGUGAGGAAUAUUGCGCAAUGGGGGAAACCCUGACGCAGCAACGCCGCGUGGGUGAAGAAGGCCUUCGGGUCGUAAAGCCCUUUCGGACGGGACGAACGCUCCGCGGUGACAAGCCGCGGAGUCUGACGGUACCGUAAGAAGAAGCACCGGCUAACUCCGUGCCAGCAGCCGCGGUAA